GACGAACGCUGGCGGCGUGCUUAACACAUGCAAGUCGAACGGUAAGGCCCUUCGGGGUACACGAGUGGCGAACGGGUGAGUAACACGUGGGUGAUCUGCCCUGCACUUCGGGAUCAGCCUGGGAAACUGGGUCUAAUACCGGAUAGGACCACUGCCUGCCUGGGCGGUGGUGGAAAGCUUUUGCGGUGUGGGAUGGGCCCGCGGCCUAUCAGCUUGUUGGUGGGGUGAUGGCCUACCAAGGCGACGACGGGUAGCCGGCCUGAGAGGGUGGCCGGCCACACUGGGACUGAGAUACGGCCCAGACUCCUACGGGAGGCAGCAGUGGGGAAUAUUGCACAAUGGGCGCAAGCCUGAUGCAGCGACGCCGCGUGAGGGAUGACGGCCUUCGGGUUGUAAACCUCUUUCAGCACCGACGAAGCGCAAGUGACGGUAGGUGCAGAAGAAGGACCGGCCAACUACGUGCCAGCCGCCGCGGUAA
rnacentral:rRNA from 1 species